GAGUUUGAUCAUGGCUCAGGAUGAACGCUGGCGGCGUGCUUAACACAUGCAAGUCGAACGGAGAGCUAAUGACAGAGGAUUCGUCCAAUGGAAUUAGUUUCUUAGUGGCGGACGGGUGAGUAACGCGUGAGGAACCUGCCUCGGAGUGGGGAAUAACACAACGAAAGCUGUGCUAAUACCGCAUGAUGCAGCUGGGUCGCAUGACUCUGGCUGCCAAAGAUUUAUCGCUCUGAGAUGGCCUCGCGUCUGAUUAGCUGGUUGGCGGGUAACG
rnacentral:rRNA from 1 species